rnacentral:lncRNA from 1 species
UGGAGCAAUGAAGAAAGCUGCUCAGGCUGCCCUGCUCCUGUACAUAAAAGCACCCAUCUGAACCAGCCCCACAAGGGAUUCUGUGAAGAACCAACCAGGAUAAAAUAAUGGAUGAGGUCUAAACAGGGAAUAGAUCUGAAACUGGCUUUACCAGCAAACAGAACUGAUACUUAGCACUGUACACAGUAACAGCAAUAUCGUGGAAUGAUCAACUGUGAUAGCCUUGGUUAUUCUGAGCCAUGCGACGAUCCAGGGCCACUCUGAGGGACUGAAGACAAAGGAUGCUCUCCAUCUGCCUCCAGAGGAAGGACCGUGGAUGUGGGAAUGCAGAUGAAAGAAAGCAGCUCUACAAGUUCUUCAUGUGGAUUUGGGACUGAGCAGGAGCAGAG